rnacentral:lncRNA from 1 species
UUUCCCCAGCUCUGUCCUGCGCUUCACACUCCCAAGACUGCCUUGACCUUAAUCUCGUUAAGGCCUUCUUGACAUCAGCCAGUUCCCUGUGUGCCCAGUUCUUUUCCCUGCCCCGCCAUGGCUGUCUUCAACCUGGCAGAGGAGGAAGGCAGGUACCUGAUCCCUGAGCCCAGCUCUCAUCUGUUGCUGGAGUCACCCCACAGAGCCCACCUCAUUGUCUCUGGGAGACCCUGCAGAGAUCACACAUUUCCUCAUUUCUCAGAACAAACCAGUGAAUUGGAAAAUCAUACCCAUUUUUAAACCAGGAUCACUCAGUACUGGAGUUGUGAAUCAAACCCAUGUGACUCCAAAGCUACACAGAGAAAAACCCUGUCUCAAAAAAAUAAAAAUCAUGAUUCAUGAUCUGGCCAAACAUAGCUGGUGCCAAUGGCUCUGCCAGGUUCCUUAUCUUGGGGGGUAUGAGCCCGACAGAAACGGAGAGUACCUGGGCACUUCACGGUGCCUCUGCCUCCUCGUAGGCAUGAUGAGUAUGUGCCACCCAGCCUCAGAAGGGGCCAAGUGGACUCCACACUGAGCAGUUCCGGUCCUAUGUAAAGGACUGACUGCUGGGGCUUCCUGAGUCUUCAAUGAUACCUCUGCAUACCCCCAGCUGCCAUCUUGUCACCCCCUGUCCCAUCCCCAGUACGUCCUGUAAUAAAAUUAGAGCGUCUAAGGAAACUUGGUGCUUUUCCUUUGAGCAGGAUGUUUGGUUUCAUCCUUCUGAGGUCUGACUGCUGCCCUAUUGGGAGAUGGGCAAGGAUGGACAUUUGAGCUGGACUGUCUUUGGAGCCUUGUCUGUCAGCAGAGGGCUUGAGUGACAUGCCUAAGGUGAGUUUGUAAUAGAAUGAUCAAAUAUACCAAAGAAUCUGAUAUUUGGUGUGGAGAGUAGUCCUAAAGUUAAAUCUCUUGUCUUAGAAGCAGAGCCCAUGACAGGCAUUAGGUAGUUACAGGAGGAAAGGCACCUGGAUAACAGUGCUUGUUACCAAGACAACCUGAGUUCAGUCCCCGAAUCCCACGUGGUGGAGAGAGCCAAUUCCUAGUUAUCUUUUGCUCUCCACAUGGGCACCACAGCUCACACACAUGGUGGGGAGGGUGUAGGGAGAAGGAAGACCUGUAAAAAGAAGGCUUGAGUCAGAAGAGGGCAAGGAGAAAAAUGUAGCACCAGAGUGUCAACCAAUGCCUAGCCAUCUGCAGAGAAGGGCUCUAGAACACAAACCAGCCUUUUGUACUGGAAUCACUUUGACUAGUGUGGUGAGAUAAAGCCAGUUUCCAGAUUAGGGAUUGAUUAUAAUCAUUAUAUGGGGACCAGUGCAAAAUGAAGUGCAAGAAAAAUGUAAGACACAUUUAGUCAGGUGCUAGGCAGUGGCUUUGUCACUGAUAGACUGUGCAACAGUCAUAUCCUACAAAAUCAAAGGCGCUGAGAAACUCGUGGUGUCAAGAACUUGAAUGGUGCUCCAUCUGUGUUUAGAUGUAAAUGUUUACAAUUGUGAUACAACUGCUCUGGGAUUCAGCACCAGUAGCAGCUAUGCAAGUUUGCAGCCUGGAGCAAUAGGCUACACCAAUUCCUCUAGGUGUGUAGUACACUACAUUAAGUAGGUGUGUGUAAGUACACUCUAUCUAUAAUGUUUGCGUAACUCGGUCACCUAAGGACACAUUCCUCAGAGAGUACCCUUUCUUCAGCAGUGCAUAACUGUAAUUUCAAGGGGACAACAAUAGAGAAAUAAAGCAUGCAUGGGCGUAGUAAGGCAGGUCUGGGCGUAGUGCCCGUUGUGACUGCAUCGGGCUGUCCACCCACGAAGCCAACAGAUUUGUCCCUGGCAGAUGGGGAUUGCAGGCUUUGGGACCAAGGCAGUGCAACUGUGAGUCAGGCAAAGCCAUGUACUGAGGGCAGAAAAUGAAGUGUGUCCCGUUAACUGGAUGCCAUGGAGACCGGCAGCGUGAGCUUGUGAGCUUGGAAGGAGUCUCCGGCGUCAUCAAUCCACCCAUCUAAUCCAUAAACUGAAUUAUGCAGCACACGUGUGUUUGUGUGCGAGACACGGGCUUUUAAAUAGAAGGAAUCCACUCCGAAGCACUGCAGGGUAUGCGUCAAAGGCGAAAGCGUCCAUUUUUGCUGGGGGCCGUUUGUCAGGGAACCAAGCAACGGGCCUGAGGGUCGACUAGACAAGCAUGGCAGAAAUGCCGAGACGAG